UACGUAGGGGGCAAGCGUUGUCCGGAUUUACUGGGUGUAAAGGGCGCGCAGGCGGAUCUGUAAGUCAGUGGUGAAAUCCUACGGCUUAACCGUAGAACUGCCUCUGAUACUGCAGAUCUUGAGUUUGGAAGAGAGAAGUGGAAUUCCAGGUGUAGUGGUGAAAUACGUAGAUAUCUGGAAGAACACCAGUGGCGAAGGCGACUUCUUGGUCCAUAACUGACGCUGAGGCGCGAAAGCGUGGGGAGCAAACAGG
rnacentral:rRNA from 1 species